rnacentral:rRNA from 1 species
GACGAACGCUGGCGGCGUGCUUAACACAUGCCAGUCGAACGGAAAGGCCCUGCUUUUGUGGGGUGCUCGAGUGGCGAACGGGUGAGUAACACGUGAGUAACCUGCCCUUGACUUUGGGAUAACUUCAGGAAACUGGGGCUAAUACCGGAUAGGAGCUCCUGCUGCAUGGUGGGGGUUGGAAAGUUUCGGCGGUUGGGGAUGGACUCGCGGCUUAUCAGCUUGUUGGUGGGGUAGUGGCUUACCAAGGCUUUGACGGGUAGCCGGCCUGAGAGGGUGACCGGCCACAUUGGGACUGAGACACGGCCCAGACUCCUACGGGAGGCAGCAGUGGGGAAUAUUGCACAAUGGGCGGAAGCCUGAUGCAGCAACGCCGCGUGCGGGAUGACGGCCUUCGGGUUGUAAACCGCUUUCGCCUGUGACGAAGCGUGAGUGACGGUAAUGGGUAAAGAAGCACCGGCUAACUACGUG